GUGGGUGGGCCUCAUGCAAUCAGGCUGGGGUUUCCUCGAGAAGAAGAAACACUCCUCAGGAUUUCACAUAGAAACAAUGCCUGUUUCUAAUCUGCAGAAGACUGGACAUUAACUCAUAUGAAUUUCCAGUCUGCUGGCCUCACCUAGACGAUUUGGACUGCCAGCUCGAAGUACAUUUUUCACAGGUCUGGAGACGGAGAAGAGUUUUGUCUCAAGAUGGAUCAUACCCAGCGUAUCCCUCAAACCUGAUUUAGACAAGAUAACCAAAUGAUCACAAGAACUUACAGUCUUCUCUAGUCUUCUCAAAAUCCAAAGUUCCCACAGUGUGAAGCCUCCUGGAACCCUCCACACCAGUCAUGCCGUCUGCUGUUUACCUUGGGGAGCUCCCUCAAGCCUCAUAAGCCAGGAAGGGAGAUACUGUCAUCCAUCAUUGACAUGUCACAGCUUUUGAAUUUCAGGCAGCAAGAAAUGCCUUCCCUCCACUGCCAACUGAAUACAGAGCCCAUCUUCUUUCAGCAAGGAAACCUGCUCUUUGCCAGGGAAGCAAUAUGUGUGACGACUGAGCACCCAAGCUCUAAAGUAAGUCCGCCUGCCUCUAAAGCAAGGUCCUAUCUCUCACUGCCUAUUGAACUUGGGAACUUUGGUUGGUAGCCUCCAACUCCUCAUCUGAAAAAACAAUGACCUCUCAGGGUCAUUAGGUCAUAUUAAAGCAUAGGAAUAAUGACUGGGACAUGAUAAGCUCUGGAAGACAUCAUUGCAAUUGUUGACCUGGAAGAUACUAAAAUAUAUAUUUUCAGUGUGCUCUGUAGACCACUUCCUCAGAAUCUCACUGGACCUGGAACAUUAGAUUAUGCUCAACAGUCCAUUCUGAUUCAGUAGAUCUAGAGUGUGACCUGAGGAUUUACUUCCCAAGGGGAGCUGAUGAUGCUGGACCAGGUCAACCACUGAGUGGCAAGGACCUGGGGUACUUUAUUAGCUGCCCAUUCACGGGAUCUGCUUUAGACCCACCAAGUCAGUAACCCUGGGGAGAAAACCCUGGAGACUGAAUGUUUAACUUUCUCUCAGAGAGAUUCUAAGGCAUGCUAACACUUGAGAAGGCCUUGAGAGAGGCUUCCGUUGGUUCUAUUAACAUUAUUUGACAGUUCAAUUCACUGGAGAUACAGCCUGAUCGAAUUCCUGAUUCAUCAUCAUGACUUCAGGGUAAAAUGCUUCUGAUGCUAAGACACCCUCAUCCUUUUCUGUAACAGAGGUAAUGAGUCAAUUUUCCAAACAGGGUAAGUAGAUAAUCC